UCAGAGGUCUCAAGCGUUGUUCGGAUUCAUUGGGCGUAAAGGGUGUGUAGGUGGCGCGCUAAGUCGGGUGUGAAAUUUCGGAGCUUAACUCCGAAACUGCAUUCGAUACUGGCGUGCUUGAGGACUGGAGAGGAGACUGGAAUUCAUGGUGUAGCAGUGAAAUGCGUAGAGAUCAUGAGGAAGACCAGUGGCGAAGGCGGGGUCUCUGGCAGGUUCCUGACACUGAGACACG
rnacentral:rRNA from 1 species